rnacentral:lncRNA from 1 species
CUGAUGUCAGGGGAGAGACUAUGACUGUGUAGUCACUACUGUAGAAAGUGCAGAGGCCUAGGGGCCAGAGCAAAGACCUCGGUCCCACUACAGCUGGGGACACCUCAGUAAAGUUAGGUUUCUGGUCAGCUUCAUGACAAGUGUUUAAAAGUAACGCUAGAGACUUACAGGGUGUCUGGAGCCUUUUCUUGACUUAUCUGCUCCUUGGAGUCUAAUCAGGAGCUUGUGAAGAGAUGCUAGUGGCCAAGCCAUUUCAGACAAGCUUUUAGGAAGUCACCUGGGUGAGGUAGUUCCCAAGGCAAUGCCUUGAUACAAGGAGAUGUCCAGGCUGAAGAGACUCACUGUGGAUCAGUGCAGAGUGUCAAACUGCCUAACCCAGGCUUUCCACACAUAAUUACUUGAGAUCACACUGGAGAACCAGCACCCUGAUCCAGUGUGUCUGCCAUCUUUACAUGGAGAGCUAUGGGAAGUGGGAUGUGGCAAAUACCAGAGGACAACCAUCAGUGGAAGGGGAUGUAUAUCAAAGACUGACAGCAACCCAAAAGCUACAAGAAGGCAGGAAGAAUUCCUCUUCAGACUUUAGGGUGGUCAGGACCCUGUAUACAUCUUGAUCCAGAAACUAGAAGAGAAAGGUUGAUUACCUUGGGCGUGUGUCGUGGUGAAGGAAGCGGACAAGCAGAAGGAGCAGCUGACAUACAGAUCGAUGGGAACAUUUCUGGAGCGCUUGAGUACAUAACUUAGCCACAGAUAUAAGAAAGGCGAGUAGCAGUGGCACAGGCCACUUAUCCAUAACUGAGUGAGUACAUUUCCAGUUGAAUGUCCACUGUGUCUCAGCCCAGCCCCAUCAACCUUCUCCAAAGACCAUCCUACCUCUGUCCCCACAGCCCACCAUGACAGGUUACUAGCACAGCUACACUGUGCGGCUGUCUAUGUGAUGUGUAUGUGUGUGCUUUAUGUGUAAAAAGAGCACGUAUUGCCCUAAUGUGGCAUCACUCCCUUUGAGAAGCAAGCCUCAGGCAAGUCCCCCUAUGGCCUCACCAGGCAAACUCAACGUCAUUCUUUUGCCUCAUGGCAGCCUCAAAGAACAGGAUGAUGGAAGAGCCUAUGAAAGACUGAGAAA